rnacentral:rRNA from 1 species
GAUGAACGCUAGCUACAGGCUUAAUACAUGCAAGUCGAGGGGCAGCAUUACGGUAGCUUGCUACUGUAGAUGGCGACCGGCGCACGGGUGAGUAACGCGUAUCCAACCUGCCCAUGACUUGGGGAUAACCUUGCGAAAGCAAGCCUAAUACCCGAUACGCUUCAUAGAUGGCAUCUGAAAUGAAGUAAAGGUUUACGGUUAUGGAUGGGGAUGCGUCCGAUUAGCUUGUUGGCGGGGUAACGGCCCACCAAGGCAUCGAUCGGUAGGGGUUCUGAGAGGAAGGUCCCCCACAUUGGAACUGAGACACGGUCCAAACUCCUACGGGAGGCAGCAGUGAGGAAUAUUGGUCAAUGGAGGCAACUCUGAACCAGCCAAGUAGCGUGCAGGAUGACGGCUCUAUGGGUUGUAAACUGCUUUUAUAGGGGGAUAAAGUGUGCCACGUGUGGCAUAUUGCAGGUACCCUAUGAAUAAGGACCGGCUAAUUCCGUGCCAGCAGCCGCGGUAAUACGGAAGGUCCGGGCGUUAUCCGGAUUUAUUGGGUUUAAAGGGAGCGUAGGCCGUCUUAUAAGCGUGUUGUGAAAUGUCGGGGCUCAACCUGGGCAUUGCAGCGCGAACUGUGAGACUUGAGUGCGCAGGAAGUAGGCGGAAUUCGUCGUGUAGCGGUGAAAUGCUUAGAUAUGACGAAGAACUCCGAUUGCGAAGGCAGCCUGCUGUAGCGCAACUGACGCUGAAGCUCGAAAGCGUGGGUAUCGAACAGG